rnacentral:misc_RNA from 1 species
CCAUCCUUUCACCUGACGUC